ACGGAGGGUCCGAGCGUUAUCCGGAAUCAUUGGGUUUAAAGGGUCCGUAGGCGGGCAGCUCAGUCAGUGGUGAAAGUUUGCAGCUCAACUGUAAAAUUGCCAUUGAUACUGGUUGUCUUGAAUUAAUGUGAAGUGGUUAGAAUAUGUAGUGUAGCGGUGAAAUGCAUAGAUAUUACAUAGAAUACCAAUUGCGAAGGCAGAUCACUAACAUUAUAUUGACGCUGAUGGACGAAAGCGUGGGGAGCGAACAGG
rnacentral:rRNA from 1 species